AUGUAUUUCUUGAACUGAAUUGGCAUGUUCCUGAACUCCAAAAUGUGUUUUGGUGCAUUAGCAGCAAAGCCUUUAACUUUAGAAGUACUUUGACCCCCUGAGAAUUUCAAGGGAUUUUAAGGGUCUGAAGUUUGUGUUUCAUAAAUUCUCAGUGUUCAGAUGUAGCUCACAUGAUUAUUUUUAGUACAGAGCUGAUACAGGUUUUGUCGUGAGCCAGAUGCAGCAAGGAUUGCUGGUUAUGCUUGUUGAUUCAUAGCUGUGCCAAGCAGAGCUGUGGAACUGAAUAUUAUGGGUAGUUUCUGGUUCAACAGGCUGUUGAAGGAGGGUAUCCUUUAUUUAAAUACAAAAUUAGCAGUACUUUUGCUUUGGAAACUUUCUGUGGCAGUAGUUCUUGGCAGUUGAUUCACUCACACACACACACACCUUGGGGUUUGUUGUUUAUUUUAGCCUAAGGGAGUUAUUUUGACUCAGUGGUAACAAGAUAGAAAGCCUUGGUACCUGUAAAGAGUGUAGUUAAUCUGUAGUUACAACCAUGCAUCCUUUUUUCAAGAUUAUAUAGUGCUGUCGUGUUAUAAAUGACUAAUUUCCCCUCCCCCUCCUUUUCUAUCCUACAUAUUUUCUUCACUUACUGGAGGGGGGUAAAAAAAGAGUUGGGUACCAAUUCACUGACUAUGUUUCUCACCAGCGUUCCACAAGCCUGUCUUAAGUAGCACUGAGAGUAGCCAGAGAAAUAACAUUGCACAAAUUGCUAUCAUACCAUCAUGUUUAUGUGAAAGCAUUUAUAUGUCAGGAGAGAGCCAGGCAGAAGGGGCUUGAGGCAGGUGCAUCACCCAAGAGAAAGAAGGGAAUUGCGUUGUCUGCCCACAUUGUGCAGAGCUGGGGUUGCACAGAGAAUCUGGAGCCUGUGUGAUGUCUUACUGAAGGCUGCUGGACUGAGUAAAUACAGGUAAGUUCUGAAAAGCGAUCAUUUAAAAGCAGUUCCAUAAGACGCCAUUUAGUAUCUCUCUUAUUGCCUUCAGGCUGCAAGAAAGAAUUUUCUGAGCCUUGAUGUAGGAUCUGAAAGGCAUCAAGCUGUUGGUUUGCACCACUCAAACAGAGCUUUUCACUGGGUUCAUCUGUUUGUGGAGGCACCUGUGCUGAGCUGCUGCUCUCAGUAAAUCUGCCCAACUGAAACUUCCUGUUGUGGGUUGUUUUGGUGUGGAAUGAAGUAGAGACCAGGGUCCUGAAGCCUUGAAUUCUGUCUGAUUUGUCUUAGGUUUAGUUUUGUGUGUUGAAAAGCCGUGAAAAUUACUUAGUCUGCUUUAUUUUUUAAGGACUUGUGUUUUGUGGUUGAUUGCAAUCUUGGAUUUAGGUUUCUUCCUGCUGCUGCUAAGUUAUAAAUCUGAGUAGUUAGCAUCUGAGCUGUCCAGUAACUUAGUCUAUCCUCUGACAGACAAGCUUAACUAGAUAAGUUUACUACUAAACAAAGCUGAGCAGGAACAUGUUAGGUGCCAAUAACAUUUCAUUAGUCAGGAGUCUCAGGAAUCUGAACUCAGAGGUCCAUGGGGGUUCAGCUUUAAGUUCAAAGUAUACAUAGGGUUCUUGUUCUGGUGCCCAUCCUUUAAUCUCUCCUGGUUUUUGUUUGAGGUCAGUAAUGCCUCUGCUUUCUUCAGUGGCUCCUUUUCUUCCCUCAGAAGUUGUAUGUCUUUCUAUAUCUUUCCAAAGACUCCUUCCAUGGCUUUCCUUAGCCCUUGCUUGUCACAAUUUAUAAUUAAUUAAAAUUAAUAACUGCUUUUCUCCUUAUUUGCUUGGGCAGAGAGUAGGUUCAAUCAAUUUAUUUAUGCCAACUGUUGCUGACAGUUAUGAGCUGUUGUGAGCUGCCAGCUGCAGGCUGCUUGUAUUGUCCUACAGUGUAACUGGGGCAGUUUUCAAGCACUGUCUCCUAUAUAUCCUCUUUGCUUUGAGAAUAACAUGGGCAGCACUGCAGCUUGUCUCCCAUGUAAGACAAAGAAUGACUUUCUCUUCUCUCAGGACACCCUAAUUUAGCAAACUAGGCAUUGUAAGAUCUCUGAUAUUUCUGCCACCCUGUCAAAUAGGACCGUGCAAAUAUGACCAAAUAUGUACAAAUACGUCUUCCACAGUUAUUAGCAGCGAACUCUUGCUCCGUGUGGUCACGUAUGCCUCCUUCCCUUAGGAAGUUGUUCUAAGAAAGCAAUCCAGCUUCCAGCAGAUGAAAAGGCCGUGACGUAGUACUUGUACGCAAGAAACAGGCUAAUUCAAGGGACUUAAAGUGCCAAUUUACUUGUUUUGAAAUAAGAAUUACAUUUUUGGAAGUCAGGAGAAGGAGAUGAACAGCUCUGAAAAUAUGGUAAAAGCAUGAGUAGGCAGAACAAGGAGAUGGUUUUGGUUUUUUCAGUUACCAUUCCCAAAUCUCUGCUUGAACUUCAUACCCUCCUCACCCACCCACUGGAAACUGGUUGCACAAACUAUGUAGAAUAGCUCUAAACAAAGUUUCUUGGUAUCAAACGUGAAAGAUAAGAUCCCAAAAGAAGUGUUCUUGCCACAUUUUGAUUAAAAAAUGAUAAAUCUAUUGUGCAGAUGCUGCAAAAGUGACAUAGCAGAUUCUCAUCUAGCAGAAGUGACUUAGAGCUCUAAUUUAGAUAAGUGAGAUCCAAUUUUCUAAGGUCAUAAAUAAUGAUUGUUGUUUGUGUGUUUCCCAAUUGCAAUGUUCCUAGUCUUUCACAUUUGUGCCAAUAGUUAUCUACACGUUCGCAUUUUAAAAUACCAGGCACAGAGACUGAUGACUUUAUUUACCCUUUACUGUAAAUAUCUUUUUUCACUUCUUAGUAGCAAAGGCAUCCACACUGUCUGUAAUAACAGCUAAUUCUCUUCAUUCUGUUCCUUCCAUUAAAACUACCAAAACAUUACAAUUCUGAUGUGAGAAACAAAGUCACAGAUCUUUCUGUCGCAUCUGAGCAGAAGGACUUGCAGAUCUGUCUGGAGACCCCUUGGAGUCGAUGGUGUUCUAUGCAGGUAUGAGGGCUCCUCUGUGAAGGCCUAACGGCACUGAAUUUGAUCUGUCUCCUCUUUCAGUAAACUCAUGUGCUGCUUGCCUUUAUGAAUGAACUGCUGUUAUCAAAAAGGCAAGUCAAAACUGUGUCCAUGUAGCAGAGCACAAAAACAAGGUUAAAACUGCUGUUAAAAACUAAGCUUCUAAUGAAGACUCCUGCAUUUCAGUUUUAGCUCUGUCCCUAGUUCAUCAGGUUACCCAGAUCAAGUAUUUAAUUCUUCCAAAGUCUCUUUUUUCAUGUACAGAUGGUGCAGAAAGGGACUCUGGCAGAUUUGUCCUGCUCAUAUUGUGCCCCUGAAGCCAAGUGCCACUGCCAGUUUCCCCUCUUUUCUCCUGAAGGUUACGAUCCUUGGGACAUCCUUGUGUCCCUGCACCCACUAUUCCCAUUCACCAGCAAACAGAUCGGCUCAAACUCUCCGUAAGGACAGCUGACAUUAGAGGGAGGCAAGAUCGCCCUUCUGCUGGAGCAGGAAUAAAAAGAAAUGCCUGAAAGCACUAGAGUUGCUUAACACACUUCAUGGAGCCUAGGUACUCACCUCUGAAAGCAGCUGUCGUGUUCAGGUCCUAUGAAGAGGGACAUAAGUGUGCUGUUCUGCAAAAUAGUGUCACUUUUUUUUUAUAGUUUGUUUUCCUUUUUAUGACUUUAUACUUUGGUUUCAUGACUAGCUGCAGGAUGUGAAAAAAUUGUAGUGAGAUUCUAGUGUGAGGUCUGCCUGAAAAAGGCCACAACUGAAAUGGGCUGUCUCUUUCUGCGUCUUGUGAAGCGAGCAAAAAGUUGUUUUCAUGGUGGAAGGUUCUCUGUUGAAAUGUUGUCAAAGAGGUGAGAACCACCGAAGCUGCCUUGCGUGCCCUGAACUCAGGCUGUGGUUUCAGCGAGGCACACUGGGAACACUAACAGCUGGCAAGUUAACCCUACCGUUGGCCUAUGAGACAUAUACCCUGGUCAUAUCUAACCUGCUAACUUGUCCAAUGUAUUUUUAUAAAGAUUAAGAAGCAUUCAGCUGAAGUCAAUGUAAAUCGCCUAAAUGCAACACCCUGAGUGGCAUCUCUAUUUUAGCAUGUAUCUGUGGAAUCAGGUAACUGUAAAAUGGUUGAGCUGGUUAGAGGACUAUUACAGUUUAAGUUAUUUUUUUUUCAGGGUGGAGCUGUUGGCCAGCACUGCCAUCCAACAGCAUGGAAGCUAACAGUGUGCUUAAUGGCUGCAUUUAUCACCCAGAACACCAGGAUGAAAUCACCAGAGUGAGGACUGGGAGAUGUGGAUUCUCUUUCCAGCCUUUUCACAAACUUCUCCUGCGAUUUACAGCUUGCCAGGAACAUGGUGCCAGAUGAGCUCUUCCAGCUGCAGCUUUUUUAACCUUAACAUGUUAUAGCUGCUGGUUCUUCACAUCCACUGGUGGAAAUGACCUGAGGGGGAGGAGGUUAGAGGCCUGUCAGAUCUGCUGGUGUCUUUCCACCUGUACCUGUUUCCUAUCCUGCUUAUAUUGUCAGGGUGAGUUGGUGAGCAGCUAGGCACAGUAUCCUUUUAACUCUGACCAGCUGUAGCAUUCCCUGACUGUACCCAUAAACUGGUGAUGUACCACAAAAAAUGAGUCACAAAAAAUGAAUAAAUAGGAAACCAUAAAUAAGUACAGUGCCAUAAAUCUUGCUGUGAGAAAGCUUUGGAAAAAGAGCAGCAGCGUUCCUCAUCUCCAAAUAAGCUACUGUCCUUUAUUUCGAAGAGCUCAAUUUACAGUGGAAGGCAACAAAGUGCUCUUUCAACCAGUUAUUUCUGGCAGAGCAAAGGUUUAGGCGUUGAUUCCUAUUGAACUUUAAGAAAAUUCUGUUUUGAUUUCAGAGAGCUACAGCAAACUGCCUGUCCAGCUUUGCUGCUAGGUGUGUGCUGACAAUCACUCCUACUCCAAGGUGGAAGGCUGGGUGCCUUCAAUUUCCACAAGUGACUGACAUGUGACAUUUCUACAGGUCUUGGACACAUACAGGAGACGACCUUGCACAAUAUGCUGGGUACCACUUGUCUCACAGUUGGGCCGCAUUGUAGGAUUGAUACUUGCCACUGGGCCAAAAGAUACCCUCAGGUCACAGACCUGUUGCUCUUGCAUUGACAGGCUCAGAUCCUUGGUUUUUCUUCACUUGAUGCAUGAAAGUUUGAAAUAAAACCAGAAUCUCAGUGAGGGGAGUGUGAAAGAACUGGUACAUUGUUGGGGUUUUUUUUUCUGAGAGCUGUGGGGAAAACUGAAAAUAUCUGUGUGUGGGAGGGAGGAGAGAUUUAAAAGAAACAUUUAAAAUUAAGUAGGAUUUCUUAGAAUCAACAGUGAAACUGUUCACAGCAAUGUUCUGAGCACUAAUGUAACAAACAGUUGAAAUGCGGUUGUUUUCCCCAAAGCUAAGUUCUAGGUGUUCCCAAACCACCUGCAUUAUAAAUUCAAGCUCCACAGGCUGAACCACAUUUAUCGAUAAUGUCAUGCCGUAGGAAAAAUACUUUGACUAUGAUACCUCUUGCUGGUAGCUAAGCUUUUUCCCCUAAAAAUGUUCCUUUUGGAACUGCACUAUAUCAGUCACUGUUGAUGCUAUUUCUGAGCCACAGUGGCAAAACCUUCCCAUUUGUAGUCAGCAGAAAUGAUGAUCUCUAUUUCUCUUCGCUCCCCUGUGUCAGUGAUAUGUCAGAGGUGAAUAACACACUGGCGUACCAUGGUGGGAUAUGCAGGUUCUCGGAGCGUUAAUCAAAACUCUGAAGUCUGUGUACUUACAUUCAUUUGAUUUUGUGCAAAUGAAGUCUGCCUCAAGAGCAUGACAGGAGAAGCUCUGGGGUCUUUUUUAAUUAAAUCACUCUGCCUUGCUCAGCUUCACCCCAGUAAUGCUCCCUCUCUUGCUUUGUACUCCUCAUGUUGCUGCAGCACCAGGAAACCAUUUGUGUCUCCAGUCACGAGUCACCUGGUGUGUGACCACUGAAAUGUGAGAUUUCUCAGCAGCUUGCAAGGUUUGGACUUUUGCCCACUGCUUAGAGGUCAGUAGAAAUUUUGGUGCUGUAGCUUCAUGCAAGUCCGGAUCAAGGGACCAUGCAGGACGCACUCAGCUCGCAGGGGUUUUCUCAGACGGCACCUGGGUUUACCUUCAGCAGGAACAUCUGUGCAUGCACUGAGGUUCCUCGGCCAGGAGGCUUAGGGCCCCUUGGGAAGGCACCAGAUUUGAACGUGCAUCAGCAGCUCCUUCACACGUGAGCUCCUUCCCUGCUCCAUGCUGUCAUGCUCAGGGUGGAAGAGGAUGCCCAAGAAGCCAAUGUGAAAUCAAGACUGUGAUAGCAAAGUUGCAUCCUACAAAGCAACAUGGGACAUAAACCCUACCCCAUCAGCUCAGCAAAUGAAGACAUCAGAUGGCCCACACCAGCCAUGCUCACUUAGGAGUGCUGCUCGCUGUGCCUGCGGUGAAGGUGCUGGGUCAUCCAGGCUGAGCAGAGCUGGCGUGCUGCUGCUGUGCAGCUGCAGACAGGGGCUCGCUGGGCACGGGGAAAUCUGUAAAGAUUCCCUUGGGAGCAGUUGCUGCAUAAGCCAUGGGGGCUCGUCACUUUCCCCACUGAAAGACACUUGGCUCUGACAGUGAGGUACCUGUGAUUCUUAUCCACUGCUGAAACUGCUGAAAGCAGCUGAAGGAGCAAGGGUGUUUUGAUUGCCCCAUGCUGUAGAAGGCCUAAUUCUUAAUUACAGUCUUGUGUUGGCUUUGCCAAACUCAACAGUAGUGCUAAUGAUAGAUCUCUCUCAAAAUUGGAAACUGUUUCUAUUGUGUUUUAUUUUUGAAGAAAAGGAGUGAGCCCAUAAGAAUGUCCUGCGUUCCCUCUGUGGGAUAUAACUUCAGUCAUUUCACCACUCCUAAGAAUAAACUGACUCCCUACUGAGUUAUUCAUAAUGCCUUUUCAGCCAGGCUGAUGUAUAUCAGAUCACUUCCUGAGGCUGCUGUGAGGAACACAUCAAGCAUCUCCCCUCGUGCUGAGUGCUGGCACAUCACAGAAUUUCUGUGGGACUCUACAAAGAAAUAAAAAAUAAAAAUCAACACAAGCCAGA